CGUGCACACGAAAACCCAAAGAUCUGUAUUCGCCAGUAAUACGGUCUCUUGCCUGUGGUGCAGAAAUCAAGGAGGGCCUUGUCGCCUUCCAGGCGCUGCUGUGCCUCUGGAAGUGAAAUCAAGGCUCUACAAUU
ensembl:snoRNA small nucleolar RNA SNORA68